rnacentral:rRNA from 1 species
GACAGAGGGUGCAAACGUUGCUCGGAAUUACUGGGCGUAAAGCGCGUGUAGGUGGAUUGGUGUGUCAGAUGUGAAAGCCCUGGGCUCAACCCAGGAACUGCACCUGAAACUACCAGUCUUGAGUGGUGGAGAGGGAAGUGGAAUUCCUGGUGUAGAGGUGAAAUUCGUAGAUAUCAGGAGGAACACCAGUGGCGAAGGCGGCUCACUGGACCGGUACUGACGCUGAGACGCGAAAGCCAGGGGAGCAAACGGG